AACGAACGCUGGCGGCAUGCCUAACACAUGCAAGUCGAACGAAACCUUCGGGCCUUGUGGCGCACGGCUGCGUAACGCGUGGGAACCUGCCCUUAGGUUCGCAAUACCUCUCCGAAAGGGGUCCUAAUACCGGAUAAUGUCUUCCGACCAAAGAUUUAUCGCCUUUGGAUGGGCCCGCGUUGGAUUAGCUUGUUGGUAGGGUAAAAGCCUACCAAGGGGAGGAUCCAUAGCUGGUUUGAGAGGAUGAUCAGCAACACUGGAGCUAAGACACGGCCCAGACUCCUACGGGAGGGAGCAGUGGGGAAUAUUGGACAAUGGGGGAUAGGCUGAUCCAGCAAUGCCGGGUGAGUGAUGAAGGCCGUAGGGUAGUAAAGCUCUUUUACACGGGAUGAUAAUGACGGUACCGGGAGAAUAAGCACCGGCUAACUCCGUG
rnacentral:rRNA from 1 species